rnacentral:rRNA from 1 species
UUCGCCUACGGGAGGCAGCAGCCGCGGUAAUACGUAGGGGGCAAGCGUUAUCCGGAUUUACUGGGUGUAAAGGGAGCGCAGACGGCAGUGCAAGUCUGGAGUGAAAGCCCGGGGCCCAACCCCGGAACUGCUCUGGAAACUGUGCGGCUAGAGUACUGGAGGGGCAGGCGGAAUUCCUAGUGUAGCGGCGAAAUGCGUAGAUAUUAGGAGGAACACCAGUGGCGAAGGCGGCCUGCUGGACAGUAACUGACGUUGAGGCUCGAAAGCGUGGGGAGCAAACAGGAUUAGAAACCCCAG